UACGUAGGGCGCAAGCGUUGUCCGGAAUUAUUGGGCGUAAAGAGCUCGUAGGCGGCUUGUCGCGUCGUUCGUGAAAACCUGCAGCUCAACUGCAGGCUUGCGGUCGAUACGGGCAGACUAGAGUGUGGUGAGGGGGAGACUGGAAUUCCUGGUGUAGCGGUGAAAUGCGCAGAUAUCAGGAGGAACACCGAUGGCGAAGGGCAGGUCUCUGGGCCACUACUGACGCUGAGAAGCGAAAGCAUGGGGGAGCGAAACAGG
rnacentral:rRNA from 1 species